AAUCAACGCUGGCGGCGUGCCUCAGACAUGCAAGUCGAACGAUUAAAGCUCUCUUCGGAGAGUGCAUAGAGUGGCGCACGGGUGAGUAACACGUAAGUAAUCUACCUUCGAGUGGGGAAUAACAGUCGGAAACGACUGCUAAUACCGCAUAAUGCAGCGGCAUCGCAAGAUGACAGUUGUUAAAGGAGCAAUUCGCUUGAAGAGGAGCUGCGGCAGAUUAGCUUGUUGGUAAGGUAACGGCUUACCAAGGCUACGAUCUGUAACCGGUCUAAGAGGACGGUCGGUCACACUGACACUGAAUAACGGGUCAGACUCCUACGGGAGGCAGCAGUCGGGAAUUUUGGGCAAUGGGCGAAAGCCUGACCCAGCAACGCCGCGUGAAGGAUGAAGUAUUUCGGUAUGUAAACUUCGAAAGAAUGGGAAGAAUCAAUGACGGUACCAUUUAUAAGGUCCGGCUAACUACGUGCCAGCAGCCG
rnacentral:rRNA from 1 species